AGUUUAUCGAUGUUUUCCCUUUCCUUCGAGAAUAAAUAAAGUUCGAUGACAACCCUAUUUGAUCUUCGAGCAUGCGAUACGCUUAAGUAUUUUUUUGUGGUGCGAAAAUCGGCAAGCCCAAUGCGCCAAUUACAAGAGAUGGGAGGAAAGGAUAUCUUCAUAUUGAAUUCAUUUCACUAUCAUUCAUAUGUCUCCUCUUAACCGUCGCUUGGCCAGAGAACAACUUCGUCACGCAGGAAACUGCCUCCGACAGUGGCAAAGGCUCAAAUACCACAAACCAUACAUCAAGUUGCUCUCCUUGUUCUCCUCUCUCACCCUACCCUAUUUUCUCUCUCUAAUUCUCCCUCUAAAUUCCAAAUUAAACUUAAAAUACCAAGAACCCUAGCCUACAUUUCAGAAAUUAAACGCAAGUAUGGAGGAAUCAAAGCCUAAUUCCUUGGGGCUUUGAUUCCUCAGGUGAAACCUCACAUGGUGGAAACAAGAAUUAGGGAAAAACAAAAGAGGAAUGAGAAUAUCCUACCUACAAGGACAUGUUAUUCCUCGGUCAGAGUUGAAUUCAACACAAAUGAAGAUGAAUACGAAGAAAUUGCAGGGCUGAUGUGCCUAAGAUGGCUUAGUAAUACACUUUUGCAAGGCAUGAUCAAGGCAUUUCAACAAGGCUUAGCAAGGUAUGGUCAAGAUUGGCAUGGCAUCAAAUUUGAAAGAAGUUUCGGAGCACUUGGAUUCUCAAGGAUUGGAGGACCUUAUGGAUGUAGAGAAAAUGUGAUUAGGGUCAUAAGAUUAGAUAAUUGACUUUGGUCAACUGGUUGACCAAAAAGUCAACAGUUGACCAAAAAGUCAACAGUUGACCAUAAUCAAUUGUAGGUCAAAGUUGUAUAUAUUUUUUGUGUGUAGGUUUUGGACUUUGCAAUGUAAUUGGAGAGUGUAACCUUUGAUGAUAAAGAAAAUGGCUUUGUAUGA